GUGGACGUGAACAUGAUGGCUCCCUUUGUGCUCUCCCAGACCAAGCUGGGCCAAAUCUCUCUUGACCUGCAGAACUGCCAGCCAGUCUUCACUAGGAUCCACAUGCGAGCAAGCCUGCUCUCUGCAGUGAUGGAGACCAUGUUGAAAUGGAUGCUGGAUACCUCCCUACCCAACAUGGACCGCCUUUGUGAACAACCUGAGGGCCCUGCAGGCUGCGGGGAGAGUCACGUGGAGCCUGAGGGUGGCACAAGGAAGGCAGAGAAGAAGCAAGUGGAGCUGGCCUUCAGGGUUCCUGAGUCUCCACAGGCCCAGGGCACCUGUUCUUGGUCCAGCAAUAAAUGCUCAGAUGGAUGGCGAGGACUUGGGUCACCACAGGAUCCACUAUGGGAGGCUCCUGGGAAAUAUCACCAUCACGACAUUCAUUCUUUCAGGCAGUAAGCAUAGCCAGGUCCCAUUUGAUAUGAAUCUGACCUGCAAAUCUGCAACAGUGUCCUGCAACAUAUUAAGUUUUACAUGGUGACCAGAAAGUUAAAUAAAACAUCCCCUCCCCCAACCUUUUCCAUUGUUAAGAACACACACCUAACUUGCUCAAAUCCCUCCCUUCUCAGGAAGAAUAAAGGUCCCUUCUGUAAUUCCACACUCCCUCCACCAACCUCCUUCCCUCUCUCGUCCCCUUCGCAGCCAAAGUUCCUUAGAGCUGUGCUUCUCCACCUUGAACACACAAAUGAGCCACCUGGGCUCUUGUUAAG
ensembl:lincRNA